UCAGGCCUAACACAUGCAAGUCGAACGGGUGUAGCAAUACAUCAGUGGCAGACGGGUGAGUAACACGUGGGAACCUUCCUAGGGGUACGGAACAACCCAGGGAAACUUGAGCUAAUACCGUAUACGCUCUUGCGAGGAAAGAUUUAUCGCCCUUAGACGGGCCCGCGUAGGAUUAGCUAGUUGGUGGGGUAACGGCCUACCAAGGCGACGAUCCUUAGCUGAUCUGAGAGGAUGAUCAGCCACACUGGGACUGAGACACGGCCCAGACUCCUACGGGAGGCAGCAGUGGGGAAUCGUGGACAAUGGGCGCAAGCCUGAUCCAGCCGUGCCGCGUGAGAAAAGAAGGCCUUAGGGUUGUAAAGCUCUUUUACCAGGGAAGAUAAUGAC
rnacentral:rRNA from 1 species